UAUGAGAGUCCACCGAUUGUCCAGCUAGUUUUCAUCGGGGCAUCGGGGAUCAUCACGCUUGACUGCACCAUCGUUUCAAGUUAGCUAAGCGCGCAGCGGCUAACUCUCGCAGAGUAGAAGAUAAGGGAGGAACUCGGGCGAAGAAUCCCGAGGUUCUACGACAACAUGACUGCGGAGAUGCUGCAGUGGAUGCUGCGGAUGCCAAGGGUUUCCUUGAGUGCGAAAAGGAGAAAGAAGAAUGGUGGGGAAAUGAGAAGGCAUCGGACGACUUAAUUACGACCGCCGCAUUAUAUCCCCAUUCGCUAGCUUGAAAGUGCGAACCUCGUAAUUUGAUCAAAGCACCACUGUAAACAUCGUAGAUGCGCAAACGUGGAUGCGACUUGUUUUCUGUAGACUCAAGCAUCGUUGACAAACCGAUGAGUUCCAGCCAAACAUACGGAAAGAAGAAACCAGCACAUCCGGGAAGCAAUAAAAAGAAGACAGAUAG